CAGCAGCCGCGGGAAUACGAGGGGGGCAAGCGUUGUUCGGAAUUAUUGGGCGUAAAGCGUGCGCAGGCGGUUAUAUAAGUCAGAUGUGAAAUCCCCGGGCUCAACCUGGGAACUGCAUUUGAGACUGUAUAGCUAGAGUACGGUAGAGGGGGAUGGAAUUCCGCGUGUAGCAGUGAAAUGCGUAGAUAUGCGGAGGAACACCGAUGGCGAAGGCAAUCCCCUGGACCUCUACUGACGCUCAUGCACGAAAGCGUGGGGAGCAAACAGGAUUAGAGACCCGAGUAGUCCCUGUCUCUUAUAC
rnacentral:rRNA from 1 species